CGCGAUUCGCCCUUCGGGGCGCAGCAGGCGCGAAAACUUUACAAUGCCGGCAACGGCGAUAAGGGAACCUCGAGUGCCAGGUUACAAAUCUGGCUGUCGUGAUGCCUAAAAAGCAUUGCAUAGCAAGGGCCGGGCAAGACCGGUGCCAGCCGCCGCGGUAACACCGGCGGCUCGAGUGGUAACCGUUAUUAUUGGGUCUAAAGGGUCUGUAGCCGGCCGGGUAAGUCUCUUGGGAAAUCUGGCAGCUUAACUGUCAGGCUUUCAGGAGAUACUGCCUGGCUCGAGGCCGGGAGAGGUGAGAGGUACUUCAGGGGUAGGGGUGAAAUCUUGUAAUCCUUGAAGGACCACCAGUGGCGAAGGCGUCUCACCAGAACGGACCUGACGGCAAGGGACGAAAGCUAGGGGCACGAACCGGAUUAGAUACCCGGGUAGUCCUAGCCGUAAACGAUACUCGCUAGGUGUCGGCCACGGUGCGACCGUGGUCGGUGCCGUAGGGAAGCCGUGAAGCGAGCCACCUGGGAAGUACGGCCGCAAGGCUGAAACUUAAAGGAAUUGGCGGGGGAGCAC
rnacentral:rRNA from 1 species